ensembl:lncRNA
GGGUAGUUAAUCUUUACGCCGGGCAGAUUUAAUGGAACGGUGUCAAGUGACAAUAGCUGGAAAAGCCAUCUGAGUGAAGCUAAUGCGAUCAGAAAAGCCCGUGUCUGUCUCCCAUCCAGGAAUCUACAGUAAGGGGAAAAGUCCAUGGGAGCCCUUCCUAACCCCUAGUGUACACACACACACACACACACACACACACACACACACAGUACACUCAUUCUUUACCGGGUAAAUCGCAGUUAUACAAAGACACACUAAAUAAAUGUACAUGUCAAUACAUGGCUUAUUACACUGUACACAAUGUAUUUGUAAGCAGAUAUAAACGAUGUCUCAAUGGAAUCAUUUCUAAUCAAUGUUAAAUCCUUUACUUCCUUGGCGUGUGCAGUGUGCAAAGCGCAUGCUGGUGUGUAGAAAACAGCUGUGUACUGGUCAUGAAUGCCACAACGGACAUGAACUGUGGUACAGUGAAGAAGCUAAAGAGCGUCUCUGACGCGCCGCGGCGAUAGAAGUCGCGACGCGGUCGGCCUGCUGACCUUUCACUCGAGCGCGGGGCCCCCGCGGUGUGCUCAUGUAUUUGUGCGAGUGUGUGUUUUGUAACAGAACGCGUCCAGCACACGGGGAGUGCAUUAAUGCUCGUACUCCCCUGGCCAUAUCUCUGCCUCUCCUUUUUGACCGUAACUCUAUACCGUGCACCCCCCCUCGCCACCCCCCCCCCACACACCUUUCCCUCCCCAAACCCCCUACUGUUUUACCCUGUUUUAUGGGACACACUUGAUACACUUAAAUGCGUGAUGGCUGAGCAGAAGGUGAAACCCAAGUGCUCAUCCACCUCAGAGCGUCGAAUUAAAUACAAACCGAAAAUGAAGAGAAUAAAUGUCUGUGGGGUUAAAAUAUAUAAUUUUGUCAAGAGCAAUGCUUUUUAUUUAUUUAUUUAUAGUUAUGUUAAUCGCACCGAAUAUUAAAUUCUGGACUAAACUAAUACUUUCGAAGAGUUAACAGGUUCCCAAUCUAUGUUUUAAAUAUUCACAGGAAAUCAACUCAGCAUUUAGAAUGCCUUAACGUUUAUAUUUCACAGCCGGGUUUUAUUACCUUUUGGAGCGAGGACUUUAGUAAAUAAACCACCAUCAUACAACUGAUGAAGUUAUUCAUUUAUUGUACGCAUGGUUUAUUUAUUCAUCAAUUCAUCUGAGAGCACUGACCUUGUGCUGCCUGUCAGCAUUACCGUAUCAGAGAAAGAUAUGAACCAUUUCAAAUUAUAUUUUCAUUGUUAUAAGUUCACAUUAAAGCGCGGCCUAAAACUCCCUUAGCGCUGAUCACCAUGCAUGUAUAGUGGGUUUGAAGGCGAUUCUAAAACAAUUUAAUGAGACAUAUAAUACACAUUUAUCAAAAAACUGAUGAAAAAAGUUAACAUACAAGUGUUACAAUUUAUUUUGGUAAAGCAAUCUAAGGUAACGGAAGAAUUUUGUCAGUUCAAGUUGUGUUUUUUUUUAGAUAAUCAAAGAGGACUUCAUCCACAUUCCACAGGGCAGAUUCAUCCGAUGGGAAGUGUGCUGCUCCCAGAGGAGAAGCGACAGUUUGUCUUCACUGUAAACUCAAGUCGAUGAACAGUUGAGUCCACAUACAGUAAAGUGAAUAUGAUAAACACACCGGAUGGAAGGGAGAGUCGUCUGCUGCGUGGACUCCGGGCCCGACAUCGAGAUGAAAUGGCACUAAAACAAACAGAAUGCAGGUUGAAAUAGAACGGCACCUCGUGGCGUGGAAGCCCGCAGGCAGAAGUAAGCAUUUAAUGACAGCGAUGGCGCAACCGGGGGACGUUCCUCUGUCGUCUGACUCAAACAGUUUACACUUUCCAGCCGCAGUACGUCACUUUUGUAAAUCCCAGCUGUGUUUCUCCCUUGUUAAUGCAAUCAACCAAAGUCUCUAGGCAACAAGUGGCAUGAAUCUCUAACAGUAAUAUUUGUUGCACUACUAUCCUCAUACUCGACCUUUGAUCCAUGACUAUGUCCUGGAACAGGGAUGGGAAUCGUAGUUCUGCUGCACGUCUCCUAAAUGGAAAAGGGUUCUGGUGGGCUGAAGUCCGGGGAUGUUCCUCUUUAAAAAGGCACACAGUGGUUUGACAAAGCGUCCGUGACCCACAGCGCCGGGGUCAAAGCCUCUCUGUUAGCAGAACAGUGAAUCUCUUGCAGCUCUGCUGAGGCCGCUGCUGUAAAAGUUUGACCUCUGACCUCCCUGGAGGCUUUGUAAGUGAAAAGAUAAUUUCCCCACUGGGACCAAUAUCGCGUCACACUAUCAUCACUGUACCUGGCGUUUGUACGGAGCGCGUUAACAUCACUCAACAAAAAGUCCCAGGUUGGAUGAGAAAUGAUGCGUAUCGCAUGCAGCUCAUGAGAGAUGAGAUAAGAGGAGGGACGGCAUGUGCGCCCAAUGAGAUGGACCUUUAUUAAAACGCAGAGUAUGGUACAAUUAUUUCGGGCAAUGCUGGAAAACGUGUUGUGAUUGGCAUAAAAUACUGUUUCUUGCCUGGGGAUUGUUACGUUUGUACCUUUAAUCAUUUCAUCUGUUGUUUCAUGCGGCCUUAUCGCCACCUGUCGAUCGACAGUUAAUAGAUAGAUCAAGUGAUUAAAAUCCUUCAUGCUCCACUUAUUGUUCAGAGCAGGAAAAUGAUUUCCGAAGGAUUUUCAAGAAGACGCGUCCCUAAAGCCGAGAAUAGUAUACGUCAAUUGAAUAAAACAAUAAUCAAUAAUUGAUUUAAAAAUAAAAACACAAACCAAUUUCUUCUGUAUUGUUUUACCCUUUUAAAACUUUUUCAACUGGUUUCUUGCCUUAAACGACCAAUUGACGAAUCCCAAUUAUCACAAAGAAAGAAUUACGAAAAAGAAUACAGAAUACAGUUCCGUUAUUUUAAUUAUAUUAAAUAACUAAAUAAGGGGAGUAACUUUAAAAUUCGUUGAACAAAAGCCGAUCUCAGGUCAGAAGAACUCUUUUAAUCUUCUAAGUAAGUGAAAGGACGAGAUGUUUACCAAGUCAGGCCUCCGCAUUCUCUGCUGAGUCUUUAAUGGUUUUGUUUCCCGCGGCAACGCGCCACUAAGUUCUGUCCUACAAGAUGGUUUGCAGACAGUUGUGGGACCCUUGACGUUUAAUCUUUAACAUCCUCACCCCGCGGUGAAUUUGGGCGAAAAUCCACAACUAGUUCACACCUGUCGAGUUGUUCAUCCUGUUCAUUCCGCUCCUGUUUCUCUCGGCUUAUUAUUUGA